CGUCUUUGUCGCAGAGUUGCAUUUGAUUUUCAAGUCAAUUUAAUUUCAAUUUGAAAUAAAUGUAGAUUUUAUUUUGUAUGCUAAAUCGAACUUAAUAAGCGUUUAAAUUGAGCAGAAGCCGUGAAAAUCUAAAAUAUCAUUAGAGACGUGGAAAAAUCGGGUCUGGAUCGAACUCUUUACAGUAUCUAAAUUUUACUGCGAUAAAUUUGUAUACUGGUUUCUCGCAAUUUUCAUGGUGUGAAACCGGUGGAAAUUUAACGGUGAGACUCCAUAUAUCACCUAAAUUAUACUUAGAAAGGAUUGUUAUUCAAAUCGAGUCCCAUCAUUCCAAAUGGACGCAGCAACCGUACUGAAAGAAUUUGUAUGGGCUCCGUGCACCAACUGAACUAAAUGUUAACAUUGACUUUGAACCCGAUAUCAAAUUGUAAAUCACUUGAACUCAUUUCACAUUUAGUACCUUUCAUUUUACUAAAUUUCUUUAGAAAUAUCCUUAUUUUCACCGAAAUCAUGCAUAAUAUUUUUCUAUGCCGCCGCCAGCCUCAAACUCUCCUGAAACUUACAUUUAUCUAAGAAAUAUAAAUAAAUAUUUAAUAUGUA